UUGCUUUGGCAUCGCAUAAUAAGAUAUUAGAACCAUACAGAAAAGAUUAGCAUGGUCCCUUCGAAAGAAUUAUACAUAAACACCCAAGAGAGUCUGAAAAUGCCU